rnacentral:rRNA from 1 species
UACGAAGGGGGCUAGCGUUGCUCGGAAUCACUGGGCGUAAAGGGUGCGUAGGCGGGUUUUUAAGUCAGGGGUGAAAUCCUGGAGCUCAACUCCAGAACUGCCUUUGAUACUGGAGAGCUUGAGUCCGGGAGAGGUGAGUGGAACUGCGAGUGUAGAGGUGAAAUUCGUAGAUAUUCGCAAGAACACCAGUGGCGAAGGCGGCUCACUGGCCCGGUACUGACGCUGAGGUGCGAAAGCGUGGGGAGCAAACAGG